UCGGUGGGGAAGAAAUUCUCAAGAUUAAUACCCUUAAGCGUUGACGUUACUCACAGAAGAAGCACUGGCUAACUCUGUGCCAGCAGCCGCGGUAAUACAGAGAGUGCAAGCGUUAAUCGGAAUUACUGGGCGUAAAGCGCGCGUAGGUGGAUAUUUAAGUCGGAUGUGAAAGCCCUGGGCCUAACCUAGGAAUUGCAUCCGAUACUGGGUAUCUCGAGUAUGGUAGAGGGAAGUGGAAUUUCCGGUGUAGCGGUGAAAUGCGUAGAUAUCGGAAGGAACAUCAGUGGCGAAGGCGGCUUCCUGGACUAAUACUGACACUGAGGUGCGAAAGCGUGGGGAGCAAACAGGAUUAGAGACCCUGGUAGUCCACGCCGUCAACGAUGAGAACUAGCUGUUGGAAAGUUCGCUUUCUAGUAGCGAAGUUAACGCGUUAAGUUCUCCGCCUGGGGAGUACGGCCGCAAGGUUAAAACUCAAAGAAAUUGACGGGGGCCCGCACAAGCGGUGGAGCAUGUGGUUUAAUUCGAUGCAACGCGAAGAACCUUACCUACCCUUGACAUCCUCGGAACUUGUCAGAGAUGAUUUGGUGCCU
rnacentral:rRNA from 1 species